UUUUCAUGACCCCGAGAAUCCUGUAUAAUGAAAUAUUACUUCUUCUUAUUAAAGUUAAUAUUCGGAAAAUUAAAUAUGAUUAAAUAUAUAGAAAAGCGCAAUAUAAAUGAUUACGCAAACGGAUUAAUUUACAAUCAUAUUACCGCGCUCAACUUUUUUUUUUUGUACCCAUAUUUCAUGAUAUUUCUGUUAUAUUAUCUUCAGCCUCUUUAAUGUUGCUGGACCUUCCCCUGAUGACCACACGGGGUCGCUGUAUACCGCUGUAUUCAGCUGAUGCUGUUCAGUUGUGGCCAUGUUCAUCGUCCAUUGACUCAUUAUCUCUUCAGAAUGCUUAUAUCACUGGCACAAGCGACAUUUGGUUUUGUUCUUACUUUAAAACACAUCAGGGUCAGUCUACGCCUAGCCACGUGUUACCUCGGCAGCGGCGGGUGGAGGCGCUCUCACCGGAUGUAGUUUGUGGCGCGCGCGGGACUGAAAUGUACCUCAGAAAGAUGUCUGUGUUCUCCUGUUUACCUCUGCUUCUUCAGGUAAUGAAGAUGUGUUGGUGAUACGUCAAGCUUGAACGUCUCAGAUUUAUCAGAUAUCGAUGAACAGCCAAUAUUCAAGACACAAAACCAGACAUGGAAUCAUUGUCAGGCCAAAAGAAAAGCUUAAGGCAGCCUCGAGAUGCUUCACAGAAGUCAUUCUUUUGUAUAGGUUUUAUACCUCCCUACUCUGAAUUUGGCAGCUUCUGCAAAAAUUAGUCUCAAGAUGCCAAGAUCUCAGUAGCAGCUCUCAAGGGACUUUGCUCAACAAGUUGUGACAGCUAGAAGUGCAGAGAAUGUUGCAGAGUCUGAAAGGAAGGCUGAUCUCGGUGGAGAGGCUAGAGACGGGCAAAGAAACGGUUAUGCAAGCUGAGUGUGAGGCAAGAAGUAUACUGUCGGCCCGCAUCACUCAUGCCGGGAAGAUAAGGUUCAAAGCCCUGCUAUCAGCCUGCUGAGAGGAAAACAGCCCGCAGCCUCUCCCGGAGACACCAUCAGACACACUGCUUCUGUAGACAGAGCAGACAGACGUCCGUACGGAUGCUGAGAGAACGUCCUGCUUACCAGACUUGUGCACCAUUCAGAAUCAAAUCGAAAAUGGCUUUUAAACUCUGAUUCCUAUUCUGAAUUGCAAAGCUGCAGUUCAAAUGUGAUUGUGUGAAGUAGAAUUAGAAUUGAAAGGAAGAAAAUACUGUAAAAUUGUAACUAGAAAAGAUAAAUUUGUCUUUAAAGUUUGCAUGACAAAUGUGGUUUGAAAGUGUUGAAAAAUGUUUAAAAAGCCUUGAAAUGUGAAAGUGUAUAGGCCUCUCAGACAGAUCAGUGUUUAAAAUGCCUCCUAUUAAAAUUUGUGUUUUAAAUAUAUUUAAUUUCUGUACCCAAGUGGAAAUAAAAAACGCUUCA